AGGAAGGGCGCGGAGCACCGGAGCGUGCCGAGGGGCGCCGGGAUGCGGCGCUCGUCGUCGCAUCAGCAGGAAAAGCUGGACUCGUCGACCGCAUCGCUCAAGGACAGCGAGUGCGGCUCCACCAGCUCCGUGCUCACCGCGGCGACCACCGUGUCCACCGUGUACAGCCGGACCCGCUCGCUCGUCGGAUUCGAGGUGAGAAAUUUAUAACCCAACGACAACCUCUCUCCUCCUCCCCAACGGUGGCGCGCCGCCUCUCCCCAGGAUGGAACCGGACGGGGACGACCGCGGUGGCAGGAGCGCGCACGGAGGAGGGCGAUGGCGCGGACAGUGGUGGCGGCGCGCUGCCUUGAGAAGCUCGUCCACAGCCGGCGGGGCUCGAGCGCCAUCAUCUGCUGGCUUUGGGCCGCAGCCUGGCGAGAAGCACGAGGGGGGCCGGCACGGGGAGCCCUCAGGGUCGCGGGGCCUCCUCCUCCUUGGCACCGGUGCGCCUGGCGCUGAGCAGCGGCCAUGGCGCCGCUCGCCGGAGCACAAUAGCCGUCCCGUUGCUCGUCUGACCUACCUCCCUAGGUGAGUUCUUCCAUCUCAUCUCUUUCCCCUGUUCUAAUUUCCUGAUUUUCACGGACAUGUGCUCUGAGUCAGCUUUUAUUUCUUAGGCAUUACACAAGGAAAUGGGAAAGGUGGAUCUUCCCAGCCCAGAGAAAAUCAUAGCCAUCUCCGGAUUUUGUACUGAUAGUCUCUUCCAGUUUUUAGCUUAUAUGGUUCCAGAUUUAUUCGGUGGGUUGGAUCGCUAGGUCUGGUUUUACUUCAAUUAUGAUUGUCACGUCAAUGUGAUCUUUAUUAUCGAAGUUUUUUCACCACCCAACGUAUCUGAUUAGGAUCUGAUAUGAAAACAGAUUUGCUGAUAAUCAACCACUCUUUUGCAUAGUAAGCAUAUGUAUUUUUUCUGAAUGCAACUCAUGUUGAUAAAUUGAGCAUACUGUUGCUGCCCUACUUUCGCUUGUAGUAGAUUACAGAGAUAUUGUCCAGGCUAGAAAGAAAGAAUGGAGGGUGAGCGAAGAGUGCGGUGCAACAGCCUGGCAGGCGGCGGGACUGGUGUUCAAGACCACAAGCGCGGCUUCAGAGGGCAAGGUACGACAGGUGGUCUUGUGAUGAGAUGUGAGGUUGGAUGGAGCUUUGAGGACUUCCGGUUUGGUGGCGGCAUGCGACUUGUGGAGUUGUCUCAGACAACUUCACAAUUUAUUAUUUCCCCAAUUAGACUGCUGUUUUGAUUCUCAAAUGUGGAGAAGGGUGUGGCUGACCUAGAGGAAAUGGUUACAAUAUCUGUCUGAAAUAUGCGGAAGACACAAUAUAAGUUGCUGGUUAUAGGCAUGAGGAUAUUCUUCAAUGAUUCAUGGAAAUUAUAAUGUGGGGGACCUCAAAGAAUUUUUCUCAAGGAAAUCCCAAUACUGACAUGUUUGCGCGAAUGGCUGUUCUAAUCUUGCUCGAUGGUCGAGAUCCCAUAGAGUAGAAUCAAGGGAUUUCUACAAUCUGGAGAAGUCCAUACAUUUGGGUAUGCAAGAUCAAGCACUUCUGAUAAGCUUUGCAGUCUUCUCAGUUGCAGGUUGGGUCAAAUUUUGCUUCUGAGAUUGCGGCCACAAUUCUCAUUGGAUUGCAUAUGUCAGAAACUUGUUCACGUUUUAGUUUAAACAAGGAGACGGAGAAACACGUGGUGAAACCAUUCACGUGUGGAGAUUGCAUAUGCCCAACACAUAAACUUUUUGGGAUCAAAUUCAAUGUGCGAAUGAGCUGCAAGUGUGGGAAGUGUUCUGGCGAAUACCCAUAUACCGCACUUUUCCAUAAACUUGAUGCUGGUUCACCUCAAACAACAAAGAUCAAGUCCUUUGCAGAGCUUCCAGUUCUAUUGGAUGAACGGUUCUGUGAGGACAACAAAUGCAAGGAUUGUGGAAUUAUGCUGAAUAUUGAUCUGUUGCUUUCAAACACACCACAUUUCUUUACAAUAGGUAAAGUGGCUUGUCUCAAUUAAUAAGUUGCAAUUUAUGUAGCCAUUUUUGUGGCAAAACAGAAAAUGACAUUCCAGAUGUAUAACUCUUA